AUUGAACGCUGGCGGCAGGCCUAACACAUGCAAGUCGAGCGGUAGCACAGAGAGCUUGCUCUCGGGUGACGAGCGGCGGACGGGUGAGUAAUGUCUGGGAAACUGCCUGAUGGAGGGGGAUAACUACUGGAAACGGUAGCUAAUACCGCAUAACGUCGCAAGACCAAAGUGGGGGACCUUCGGGCCUCAUGCCAUCAGAUGUGCCCAGAUGGGAUUAGCUAGUAGGUGGGGUAACGGCUCACCUAGGCGACGAUCCCUAGCUGGUCUGAGAGGAUGACCAGCCACACUGGAACUGAGACACGGUCCAGACUCCUACGGGAGGCAGCAGUGGGGAAUAUUGCACAAUGGGCGCAAGCCUGAUGCAGCCAUGCCGCGUGUGUGAAGAAGGCCUUCGGGUUGUAAAGCACUUUCAGCGGGGAGGAAGGCGGUGAGGUUAAUAACCUCAUCGAUUGACGUUACCCGCAGAAGAAGCACCGGCUAACUCCGUGCCAGCAGCCGCGGUAAUACGGAGGGUGCAAGCGUUAAUCGGAAUUACUGGGCGUAAAGCGCACGCAGGCGGUCUGUCAAGUCGGAUGUGAAAUCCCCGGGCUCAACCUGGGAACUGCAUUCGAAACUGGCAGGCUAGAGUCUUGUAGAGGGGGGUAGAAUUCCAGGUGUAGCGGUGAAAUGCGUAGAGAUCUGGAGGAAUACCGGUGGCGAAGGCGGCCCCCUGGACAAAGACUGACGCUCAGGUGCGAAAGCGUGGGGAGCAAACAGGAUUAGAUACCCUGGUAGUCCACGCCGUAAACGAUGUCGAUUUGGAGGUUGUGCCCUUGAGGCGUGGCUUCCGGAGCUAACGCGUUAAAUCGACCGCCUGGGGAGUACGGCCGCAAGGUUAAAACUCAAAUGAAUUGACGGGGGCCCGCACAAGCGGUGGAGCAUGUGGUUUAAUUCGAUGCAACGCGAAGAACCUUACCUGGUCUUGACAUCCACAGAACUUUCCAGAGAUGGAUUGGUGCCUUCGGGAACUGUGAGACAGGUGCUGCAUGGCUGUCGUCAGCUCGUGUUGUGAAAUGUUGAGUUAAGUCCCGCAACGAGCGCAACCCUUAUCCUUUGUUGCCAGCGGUUAGGCCGGGAACUCAAAGGAGACUGCCAGUGAUAAACUGGAGGAAGGUGGGGAUGACGUCAAGUCAUCAUGGCCCUUACGACCAGGGCUACACACGUGCUACAAUGGCAUAUACAAAGAGAAGCGACCUCGCGAGAGCAAGCGGACCUCAUAAAGUAUGUCGUAGUCCGGAUUGGAGUCUGCAACUCGACUCCAUGAAGUCGGAAUCGCUAGUAAUCGUAGAUCAGAAUGCUACGGUGAAUACGUUCCCGGGCCU
rnacentral:rRNA from 1 species